rnacentral:misc_RNA from 1 species
GAUGAAGAACGCAGCGAAAUGCGAUACGUAGUGUGAAUUGCAGAAUUCAGUGAAUCAUCGAAUCUUUGAACGCACAUUGCACCUCUCGGUAUUCCGGGAGGUAUGCCUGUUCGAGCGUCAUUUGUACCCUCAAGCUCUGCUUGGUGUUGGGUGUUUGUUCCGCCUCUGUGUGUGAACUCGCCUCAAAACAAUUGGCAGCCGGCGUACUUGUUUCGGAGCGCAGCACAUUUUGCGAUCCAGAUCAACGUACAGCGGCAUCCAAGAAGCCUUAUUUAACGCUCUUGACCUCGGAUCAGGUAGGGAUACCCGCUGAACUUAAGCAUAUCAAUAAGCGGA